GGAAGGAUCAUAUUUCGAGCUAGGGGGGGGUCCUCCCCCCCUUCGCCGGUACCCUUGUGAACCAUCCCGUUGGCCCCCCGGGACCCCCCGGGAGGGCCGGAACCUCAAGAGCCUGCCUGUCUGAAGCGUUGUCACGGAGAAGAGCGAAAACUUUCAACGACGGAUCUCUUGGCUCUCGCGUCGAUGAAGAACGCAACGGAACGCGAUAAGUAGCGAGAGCUGCCGUCGCGGUGAGCAAUCACCAUGCGGAUCGUCGAAUCUUUGAACGCACAUUGCGCCCCCCUCGGUGGGGGGCAUGCCUGUUCGAGCGUCCCGAGCACCAUCCCGCGAGCCUCCUCGCGGGGCCCUGGGCCUUCGGACCCCCCAGGUCCGUGGUCCGGAAAAGAUACGCAAGCCCCUCUCGCCCGGGGAGGCCAAGCGCCUCCCGGGGCGUUCCCUGCUCCCGGUCCAAGGACACCGGCGGGGAUCGGGGCGUCUCCCGGGCGGCACCCGCCGCCCAUCGACAGGACCUCGAAUCAAGCAAGACCACCCGCUGAACGUAAGCAUAUCAAUAAGCGGAGGAAAAGAAACCAACAGGGAUUCCCCCAGUAGUGGCGAACGAAGAGGGAAGAGCUCGACCUUGGAAUCCUGCCCCGUUUCGGGCCGGGAGUUGUGGGUCUUUGGAGCAUGGCCGGCGGAGCCUCGAGCCGAAGUGCCCUGGGAUGGGCCGUCGUGGAGGGUGAGAACCCCGUUCGAGGCUCGUGGGUCUCCGCCGUUGCGGCCUGCUGCUGUAGAGUCGGGUUGUUUGGGAAUGCAGCCCAAAGCGGGUGGUAAAUUCCAUCCAAAGCUAAAUACCAGCGAGAGACCGAUAGCGAACAAGUAGAGCGACCGAAAGAUGAAAAGGUCUCUGGAGAGAGAGUGAAACAGUGCGUGAAAUCGUUGGAAGGGAAGCGUUUGGCGUCCGACCUCGGGCCUGGGUGGGUGCCCACACCUUCGAGGGUGGGUUCAACCUCCCUGCGGCUGGGUCAGCGUCGGUCCUGGACGUCGUUCAAUGGUCCGGGGGAGGUGGCACCUCCAGGGGUGCUCUAUAACCCCGCGACGGGAUGCGACGGACGGGAUCGGGGGGAAUGGGCUCUCGGGCCCAUCACGUUGGCUUGAAGGCGCUAAGCGACCCGUCUUGAAACACGGACCAAGGAGUCCAACGUCCACGCGAGCGUUUGGGUGGAAAACCCGCACGCGCAGCGAAAGCGAGAAAUGGGCGGGAUCCCCUCGCGGGGUGCACCGUCCGCCGGCCCUAGGUACUCCGAAGGGCUAGAGCGAGAGCGUGGCCGUUGGGACCCGAAAGGCGGUGAUCUAUGCCCGAAUAGGGUGAAGCCAGGGGAAACCUUGGUGGAGGCUCGAAGCGAUUCUGACGUGCAAAUCGAUCGUCGAAUUUGGGUAUAGGGGCGAAAGACCAAUCGAACCGCCUAGUAGCUGGUUCCUGC
rnacentral:misc_RNA from 1 species